rnacentral:rRNA from 1 species
AUUGAACGCUGGCGGCAGGCCUAACACAUGCAAGUCGAGCGAGCGGCGGACGGGUGAGUAAUGUAUGGGGACUGCCCGAUAGAGGGGGAUAACUACUGGAAACGGUGGCUAAUACCGCAUACUAUCGGAUAACCCAUAUGGGAUUAGCUAGUAGGUGGGGUAAAGGCUCACCUAGUCGACGAUCUCUAGCUGGGCUGAGAGGAUGAUCAGCACAACUGGGACUGGGACACGGCCCAGACUCCGACGGUGGCAGCAGUGGGGAAUAUUGCACAAUGGGCGCAAGCCUGAUGAAGCGAUGUCGCGUGUAUGAAGAAGGCCGUAGGGUUGUAAAGUACUUUCAGCGGGGAUGCGUUACCCGCCGAAGAAGCACCGGCUAACUCCGUGCCAGCCGCCGCGGUAAUUC